rnacentral:rRNA from 1 species
UGGGGAAUUUUGGACAAUGGGCGCAAGCCUGAUCCAGCAAUGCCGCGUGAGUGAAGAAGGCCUUCGGGUUGUAAAGCUCUUUUGUCAGGGAAGAAACGGUGAGCGCUAAUAUCGCUUGCUAAUGACGGUACCUGAAGAAUAAGCACCGGCUAACUACGUGCCAGCAGCCGCGGUAAUACGUAGGGCGCAAGCGUUAAUCGGAAUUACUGGGCGUAAAGCGUGCGCAGGCGGUUUUGUAAGUCUGUCGUGAAAUCCCCGGGCUCAACCUGGGAAUUGCGAUGGAGACUGCAAGGCUAGAAUCUGGCGGAGGGGGGCUAGAAUUCCACGUGUAGCAGUGAAAUGCGUAGAGAUGUGGAGGAACACCGAUGGCGAAGGCAGCCCCCGUGGGUCAAGAUUGACGCUCAUGCACGAAAGCGUGGGGAGCAAACAGGAUUAGAUACCC